GAUGAACGCUGACAGAAUGCUUAACACAUGCAAGUCAACUGUGGCGGACGGGUGAGUAACGCGUAAAGAACUUGCCUCACGGAUAGGGACAACAUUUGGAAACGAAUGCUAAUACCUGAUCCUGUGAGAGAGCUUUGCGUCCCAUUAGCUAGUUGGAGAGGUAACGGCUCACCAAGGCGAGGAUGGGUAGCCGGCCUGAGAGGGUGAUCGGCCACAAGGGGACUGGGACAGGGCCCUUAGUCAUACGGGAGGCAGGAGUGGGAAAUAUUGGAAGAUGGACCAAAGUCUGAUCAAGCAAUUCUGUGUGCAAGAUGAAGUUUUCGGGAUGAAAAGGGCUUGCAGUUGGGAAGCGGUACCAACAGAAGAAGUGACGGCUAAAUACGUGCCAGCAGCCGCGGUAAUUC
rnacentral:rRNA from 1 species